rnacentral:rRNA from 1 species
GGUUUUGUGAUCGUAUGAUAGGUUGUUUUGGUUUAUUUGCCUUUUGCAUCAUGCUUAACGGAAUUUUUUAAGUUAUGUUUUUUACCGAAAAGUUUUGAUCUUAGGUUUAAUUGUUUGGAACUGUUAUUAAGCUUGGGUAAGGUUUUUUAAAUUAAAUUUAUGUGGUGAUAAGUGAGUCGUAUAACUUUAUAACUGUUUGGUUGUUUUUUAUUUAGUGUUAUGUAUAUGGCUAUAAGGUCAUUUAUGUUUUUAUACUUUUGUGUUAUGUUUAUUGUUUGAUAAGGUUAUAAGUACCUAUUUUUUGUUAUAUUGUUGUAAAUAUAGUUUUUGGUUUUAAUUAUAUGUUAAUUAUUUUAACAACCGAUUGUUAUUAUAUUUGGUUAUUGUAAUUAUUGUUGAAUAAGUAAUUUUAUUAUGCUAUUUAUUUCUUGAAUUCUUUCCGUCUGUUUAUUAAAAACAUUUCUAAUUUGAAUCAUAGUUGGUAGUACCUGCCCAAUGUUAGUUAAUUAAUGGCCGCAGUAUAUUGACUGUGCUAAGGUAGCAUAAUUAAUUGCCUUUUAAUUGGAGGCUUGUUUGAAUGGUUUGACGUGAUGGAUAUAAAUAUUUGGUAUUUGUGUGAAAUUGAUUUUAAGGGUUUAGAAUCCUUAAUGGUUAAUAAGACGGAAAGACCCUAGGAUCUUUUGUUUUUGUUUGGGGUAAAUUUUGGUGUUUUAUGAAGAUUGUGACCCUUGAUAUGUUUUAAGUUGGUUUAUUGAUUUAAGUUACCCUAGGGAUAACAGUGUGAUAAUUGAUUAGAGAUCUUAUCGAAUUAAUUGUUUGCCACCUCGAUGUUGACUUAGGCUAAGGUUUUGGUGUAGUAGUUGAGAUUUAGGUCUGUUCGACCUUUGAGCCUCCAUGAGUUGAGUUAAGACCGGCGUGAGCCAGGUCGGUUCUUAUCUAUUGUAGAAGUUUAUCAGUACGAAAGGACAGUAAAUUUUUUUAUU